rnacentral:tRNA from 1 species
AUUGUGGUAGCUUAAAAUAAAGCAUUUGUUUUACACACAAAGGAUGGCUAAUUGUCCCACAAUA